CUUUUGUUGCUUCAGCUGUAGCAGUUGCUGGGGGCUUCUACUGCUUGCUCCUGACCCAGGGGCAGGCCAGCAUAAUGCAGUGUAGCCCAUGCUGUUGUGGGAGCUGGCAGCCUGGAGCACCCAUAUGGCGAGGUGCCACAGAGGAGCCCAGAAGAAACUGAAGGUGGAAAGCAUCCUAGCCUGCAAGAGAUCCUGCUGGUGGCUGUCAGGAGUUGGAUGGAAGGGACAUGGCCAGGAAAACAGUCAGGCUGCUCCCUGCAGGUCCCAGAGACCGUGGGGGCUAGGAGACAAGACAGAAGAAGCAGGAGCAAAAUGUGGGAACCAGCAGCAGAUUACAGAUGCAAUAGCAGAGGGGAAACGUGUGGCCAGAGGUUCCAGAGAUGUGACAGAGCCAGGAUUGUUCGACUGUAACAGAAGGACAUGGACAUGUGGGCAACAACUGAGCGCUCUCAGGACUAGAGGCUGGUUUGGGACACCUCUGGAGAUGUGGGAAGGUACAAGUUUCUUUGAGUGUCUGUACCUGAAUACUAGUGCAUGUUAUUAGUUACUUGCUCGUGUGUGAAUACACUACAGUGUUCCUUCUUGUUUUCUAUUAUUCAGCUUCUAUGUGUAUAUCCUUUAACAUUUAUCUACUUGUAUUUGCUCAUUUUUCCCUAGCCCAUUGGCUUGUGACCCUACUCCCCAGCAUAUUCUGUAUAAAAUUGGGAAACUCCCUUUUGGCUUCCUAUGCCAAUUCCUGGGGUUUCAGGGUUAACUACACUGUAUCCAAAGUAAACUGAAUAAUAAGUUAAAAUGUAUACAACACAGGAAAAUGUGCACAGUAGUGUUGCAUUAAGUAUUCACCUGUUGGUUAGAA